rnacentral:rRNA from 1 species
UACGAAGGGGGCUAGCGUUGCUCGGAAUCACUGGGCGUAAAGCGCACGUAGGUGGGUCGUUAAGUCGGGGGUGAAAUCCUGGAGCUCAACUCCAGAACUGCCUUCGAUACUGGCGAUCUUGGAGUCCGGGAGAGGUGAGUGGAACUGCGAGUGUAGAGGUGAAAUUCGUAGAUAUUCGCAAGAACACCAGUGGCGAAGGCGGCUCACUGGCCCGGCACUGACACUGAGGUGCGAAAGCGUGGGGAGCAAACAGG